rnacentral:rRNA from 1 species
AUUGAACGCUGGCGGCAUGCCUUACACAUGCAAAGUCGAGCGGCAGCGCGGGGGCAAACCCUGGCGGCGAGCGGCGAACGGGUGAGUAAUGCAUCGGAACGUGUCCUCUUGUGGGGGAUAACCAGUCGAAAGACUGGCUAAUACCGCAUGAGCUCGCAAGAGGAAAGCAGGGGACCCGCAAGGGCCUUGCGCGAGAGGAGCGGCCGAUGCCGGAUUAGCUAGUUGGUGGGGUAACGGCCCACCAAGGCGACGAUCCGUAGCUGGUCUGAGAGGACGACCAGCCACACUGGGACUGAGACACGGCCCAGACUCCUACGGGAGGCAGCAGUGGGGAAUUUUGGACAAUGGGGGCAACCCUGAUCCAGCCAUGCCGCGUGUGUGAAGAAGGCCUUCGGGUUGUAAAGCACUUUCGGACGGAACGAAAUCGCGCGGGGUGAACAUCCCGCGUGGAUGACGGUACCGUAAGAAGAAGGCACCGGGCUAACUACGUGCCCAGCAGCCGCGGUAA